AUCUAAAACUUUGGAUUAACCUAAAGAAGAAAAUUCUAUUUUUUAUUUAAAAAUACAAUAAAAGAAGCAGUAGGCUAAGAACGAAAAUCGUAGCCUGCACCAGCUCGAGGAAGAGAUUAAGGCUGGAUCUGCGUCUAUCGACCGUUCCCGAGUGAUUGGCCGUCAUAUGAAGGGCGGACAGGGAGCUCUGAUGAUGCUGAAGAUGUAGGGCCCUGCUUCCACGACCGAGGCUACCGCCCGCGCUCACGGUGCUCAUAGGACGACCUCCGGCUGUGCUGUUCCUCGGGACCACCUCCAGCUGACCUCUACACACACGCACACCACGCUACAUGCACGCCUUUCCUGACCUACACUCAUCCUGACCGUUUAUAUCCACACACCUUGGUGACACCGCGGACACACACACGUUCGGCACGUUUUGCAGCGAACCUCUCCUAUUUUUUUCAACUAAACUUACUAUAUGUGAGACUAAGGUCUGUGCCUUACAAUAAAAAUAAAGGAUGUGUCCCAUA